rnacentral:rRNA from 1 species
UACAAUGGAGAGUUUGAUCCUGGCUCAGGAUGAACGCUAGCGGCAGGCUUAACACAUGCAAGUCGAGGGGUAACAGGGGAAGUUUGCUUUCCGCUGACGACCGGCGCACGGGUGCGUAACGCGUAUACAAUUUACCUUAUACAGAGGGAUAGCCUUUAGAAAUGAAGAUUAAUACCUCAUAGUCUAUAGAUAUGGCAUCAUAUUAAUAGUAAAGAUUUAUCGGUAUAAGAUGAGUAUGCGUCCUAUUAGCUAGAUGGUAGAGUAACGGUUUACCAUGGCAACGAUAGGUAGGGGUCCUGAGAGGGAGAUCCCCCACACUGGUACUGAGACACGGACCAGACUCCUACGGGAGGCAGCAGUGAGGAAUAUUGGGCAAUGGAGGCAACUCUGACCCAGCCAUGCCGCGUGAAGGAAGACGGCCCUAUGGGUUGUAAACUUCUUUUAUAGAGGAAGAAACGCAGUUACGUGUAACUGUUUGACGGUACUCUACGAAUAAGGACCGGCUAACUCCGUGCCAGCAGCCGCGGUAAUACGGAGGGUCCAAGCGUUAUCCGGAAUCAUUGGGUUUAAAGGGUCCGUAGGCGGGCAAUUAAGUCAGAGGUGAAAUCCCACAGCUCAACUGUGGAACUGCCUUUGAUACUGGUUGUCUUGAAUUAUAGUGAAGUAGAUAGAAUAUGUAGUGUAGCGGUGAAAUGCAUAGAUAUUACAUAGAAUACCGAUUGCGAAGGCAGUCUACUAACUGUAUAUUGACGCUGAUGGACGAAAGCGUGGGGAGCGAACAGGAUUAGAUACCCUGGUAGUCCACGCCGUAAACGAUGGAUACUAGUUGUUGGG